ACCUGUGGUUCUACCAAACACCAAUGAUCUUCAAUCAUCGCAAGACGAUCCACUUACACUGACUGCUUCCGAGUGACUUUUUCAAUGCUAUAUUUAGAAACUUAGAACUUUCUCAAUCUGUAAUUGUGUUUUUUAAUAUAGUAUAUGUGAUAUUGAUUUCUAUUCCAUAUAAGGAGUGAUCAUACAUGAUCAGUGGCUGGGACAACUUUGUAUAUAUUCCGUAUAAGGAAUGACUAUUUCUCAAUGCUAUAUUUAGAAACGGUUAUGCAUAACCGGGUAACUUUCAGUGGAUGUGACAGUUCUUAUCAUGAGCGGUUUGGACAAAAGAACUUUGAACAGUUAUAUUAUGUUUAUAGUGUUUGACUUGUAUGUAUUUAUUGCACUUUUGUUUUCAAAUUAAAAUUUUGAAACUGAUUAUUGUUUUUGGUAAUAAAUUAACCGUAAGUAAAUAAAGAUUUAAAACUUAG
rnacentral:lncRNA from 1 species